AGUGAACGCUGGCGGCAUGCUUUACACAUGCAAGUCGAACGGUAACACGCCUUCGGGUGCUGACGAGUGGCGAACGGGGGAGUAGUGCAGCGGAACGUGCCCAGAGGUGGGGGUUAACGCAGCGAAAGCUGUGCUAAUACCGCCUGUGACCUGAGGAUGCAAGCGGGGGACCGAGGAGCAAUUUUUGGCCUUGCGCCUCUGGAUGGGCCGAUGUCGGAUUAGGUAGUUGGGGGGGUAAAGGCCCACCAAGCCGACGAUCCGUAGCUGGUCUGAGAGGACGAGCGGACACACUGGGACUGAGACACGGUCCCGACUCCCACGGGGGGCAGCGGGGGGGAAAAUUGGGCAAAGGGGGCAAGGCUUAACCAGCCAUACCGCGGGGGGGAAAAAGGCCUUCGGGUUGUAAAGCCCUUUUUUUGGGAAAGAAAAGGGGCCGGGUAAUACCCCGGGGUUCUGACGGUACCCGAAGAAUAAGCCCCGGCUAACUUCGUG
rnacentral:rRNA from 1 species